rnacentral:misc_RNA from 1 species
CCGAGUUGACAAACUCCCAAACCCUCGUGAACAGUACCACAUUAGUUGCCUCGGCGAUCAGCCCGCUCCCGGGUAACGACGGGCGCCGCCAGAGGACCCGUAAAACUCUUUCUAUAACAGUUACAUUCUGAGUAAUAACCAUAAUAAGUCA